rnacentral:rRNA from 1 species
UACGAGGGGUGCAAGCGUUAAUCGGAAUUACUGGGCGUAAAGGGUUCGUAGGUCGGUUAUAUAGUCAGAUGUGAAAGCCCAGGGCUCAACCUUGGAACUGCAUUUGAUACUGGCAAACUAGAGUAUGGUAGAGGAAUGGGGAAUUUCCGGUGUAGCGGUGAAAUGCGUAGAGAUCGGAAGGAACACCAAUGGCGAAGGCAACAUUCUGGACCAAUACUGACACUGAGGGACGAAAGCGUGGGGAUCAAAC